rnacentral:tRNA from 2 species
GUGGAUGUAGCUUAGUUGGUUAAAGCGCCAGAUUGUGGCUCUGGAGACCGUGGGUUCGAGUCCCAUCACCCACCCCA